rnacentral:snRNA from 1 species
GUGCUUGCUUCAGCAGCACGUACACUAAAAUUGGAACUGUCUGGGGAAGAUUAACAUGGCUCCUGUGCAAAGUUGACCUGAAAAUUUAUGAAGGAUUCCAUAUUUUA